rnacentral:lncRNA from 1 species
CAAAUCACCGUAACAUCGAAAUUUAGCGACCUCAUAUGUCCUUACAUGAAUACGGGUCCAUACAAACGUAAAAUCAUAAAUUCUGAGACUACACAGAACAAAAUCAAAUCAAAUUAAACUGUAACAUCCAAAUUUAGUGACCUCAUAUAUCCUUACAUGCAUUUCACAAGAAGAUUUUAUUACUGGAUCACAUCAUUGCCCAUGGGUCGACAUGAUGGCAGGUUGUAAUUCUAGAAACAGACGAGACAAGUACAAAUUGUAUCGAACGGUCUCACGGGCUUACAAUCUGCUUCUUUGACAAAACUACCCCAAAUGGAUAUGCAGGUACUCAGGCAAGUAACAUAUGCGCACAAAGCGGUCUCAAAAGCAGGUUCAGUUUUGCAAUACUCUGUACACAAAGAACAUGCAUUAUUGAAAGAAUUUCAAAUAGAGGAAGUUGUGAAGAAAACCAUGACGCUGGAAAUAUAUUAUACUAUAAUAGACUGGAAAAGGACAUUCGGUACUUGGAAAUCAAUUUCAUACCAGCAUGAGUGCAAUUUCCUAGCAGCAGAAGCACCAUAAAGCAAACAAUGAUAGGUUUCUGCUCCAUAAUACCAGUCACAAACUUGUUCUUCUCGUUUCUUUUUGGCGAUAAGCAUAUACUGUUAUUUAUAUUUAGAGUCCUAGAGGGCUAUAGAACAUUUAC